GCUUUUGCAGAGUAUCGCAAGAGCUAGCGGCAAACGGGUGAGUAACACGUGGGAAACCUGCCCCAAAGAGGAGAAUACCCUCGAGAAAUCGAGGCUAAUACUCCAUAAGACCACAUUCCGGCAUCGGAAAGGGGUCAAAGUCCCGUAGAGCGCAAGCUUUUACGGGACGCUUUAGGAUGGUCCCGCGUCCUAUCAGCUAGUUGGUGAGGUAACGGCUCACCAAGGCUAUGACGGGUAGCCGGCCUGAAGGGAAGAUCGGCCACACUGGAACUGAGACACGGUCCAGACUCUCUCCUCAGGCAGCAGAGGACUCUNACGUAGUCCGUAGUGGGGUUUC
rnacentral:sRNA from 1 species